AUGACCGAGGAGGAGACAGAUAAGAAGUUUGAGGCACUCCAACAAAUGUUGAAACUUGGCCAGUACGCGGAUGAAUUUGAUUUCGAUAAAACUGAAAUCGAGGCUGAAAUUAAAGUCCAGCACAAGCAAUGUACCCAGAAUAUGGGCUGGACGUGGACGAAUUCAACCUUGUGCUCAUUAUUUUCUCGGCCACAGUCGUAUUUUUCGCCUUAAUCGCCUUAAUUUUGAUGUACUGCACAAUGAGUUGUGGUUGCUGCAGACGAAAGGAAAAACGAAGAAAAUUGAGCAAUAUUCCACAGGUUAUGGUUACUCAGCAUAGAGACAAAACACCCCUAUCAAUUGACUGCCCAGAUUUGGAUUACAUCGACGCUCGCAACACAAAUCUUGUUUCAUCAACAGUUCAAGUGGAGUCAGUUCAUCAAACCCCAACUCUUUCAUAA